AUUGAACGCUGGCGGCAUGCCUUACACAUGCAAGUCGAACGGUAACAGGUUAAGCUGACGAGUGGCGAACGGGUGAGUAAUAUAUCGGAACGUGCCCAGUCGUGGGGGAUAACGUAGCGAAAGCUACGCUAAUACCGCAUACGAUCUACGGAUGAAAGCGGGGGAUCGCAAGACCUCGCGCGAUUGGAGCGGCCGAUAUCAGAUUAGGUUGUUGGUGAGGUAAAAGCUCACCAAGCCUGCGAUCUGUAGCUGGUCUGAGAGGACGACCAGCCCCACUGGAACGGAGACACGGUCCAGACUCCUACGGGAGGCAGCAGUGGGGAAUUUUGGACAAUGGGCGAAAGCCUGAUCCAGCCAUUCCGCGUGCAGGAUGAAGGCCCUCGGGUUGUAAACUGCUUUUGUACAGAACGAAAAGGUUUCUACUAAUACUAGGAGCUCAUGACGGUACUGUAAGAAUAAGCACCGGCUAACUACGUGCCAGCAGCCGCGGUAA
rnacentral:rRNA from 1 species